GCGGUAGUGCAACGGUUAGCAUACGCUCCUAAAAAGAGUGAGAUCUGGGCUCAAAUCCCGACUGACA